rnacentral:piRNA from 1 species
UACACCGUGUCUGGAUCCCUCCACCUCUUC